AAACUGGCAGCACUGGGAGCCCCUAGAUGAAAACCUCCACAAUUGUGUAACCCUCUCCGUUUCCCAUGCGUCUUUUGUUGGAGUCCGCAUCGCAUAAUUUUUCACUCGCUUGUUUGAUUAUUAUCCUGGAUCCCGAAUCCUGGCAUGGCUGCCUCUGCUUGCUGUUAUCUCCCUGUCGCGCCGCACGCACUCACGGACAACCGGCGGCGGACAACGGACAGGGACUAGAAUCCGGACGGACAACUCUUUGGGAUGGGCCGGGAUCGCCGCACGGGCAAAUUGCUGCGGAAUAUGAAUGAGGGAAAUAUUCGUUUUUGCUGCGACCGACGCCGCAGAAAUACCUCAUAUUCUAAUAGAUAACCCGGGGAAUCGGAGGCCUUAAAUUGCUAGACAUCUCGGGGAGAAAGCGCAGCUCGUCCCCAAGUCAAACUGGCAACCUUUUAGCAUAAAUUUCUCCAGGCAGAGCACGACAGGAAGUCGUCGCCAAACGCCUCCGCCAAGCGCAAUUUCCAUUAGCAGCUCGGAUGGUAUGGGAACAUCAUAUGUGGGCACGGACGAACAGAACGGAGCGGAUGGAUGGUCCCCGAGAACAUUUGACAUUUUAAGGAGCGCCAAGUGAGUUGCCGAGCAGGUAGCUCAGGUAAACUGCCACGGUAAAAGCCCCCAGACACAGAGCCUCGCCCAUGGAUAUGUCAACUGUUUUUAGCACGCACAAUUUGAGGGAAAGCCAAACAAAAAGCAGGGAAAAUGCUCUCCAAGGUAACAUGAAUAUAUAAACGAUGGACUCGAGCGCUAAAACACACAGCCGGGAGAUUGCCAACCUGCUCCAAUUCCAAUUCCCCGGCCCACACCUGUGGGAAGGGCUCGAAUUACGAAUGCAAUGUUGAAAUAGAAAUUAAAUGCCGGGGAAAACCGCAUUUUAGACAAAUGCCAAACCGGGAUCGCACACUCCCGUAUCGCCUUUCAGGACCCCGAAUUCGGGUUUCAGGCAGCAGCAUCCCCCUCGCAAGCAGCAGGUAUGCUUCAUGCCUCGAAUCAACCACAACAUGUACACCUACUUCCUCCCUGACACCCGAGAAGUUUGCCAAAAAGACAAAAAACCCUCCACAAUGCCAAGGAAGUUGCGGCCUGAACAGGAACCGGGCCAAAACCGGAGGAGAGGAAAUGCGGCCAGAUCGAAGAUACAGAUAAAAAGUAUGUUAAGUGCCCCUGGAAGGCGGUGGAUUGCCGAUAACUACAAGCUGCAGAUACGAUUUGGACGAAGCCAAAACGCAAAUUGAAGUACAAAGCGGUUUGGCCGGGACGUUAAGUGAAGAUUGAUCUUCGAGACAAACUGUAAAGAAGGCUAUCUUGAUUUUGAUUUAAAGUAUUAACCAUUUC